GACGAACGCUGGCGGCGUGCCUAAUACAUGCCAGUCGAGCGGAUGAAUCGAAAGCUUGCUUUUGAUUCGUUAGCGGCGGACGGGUGAGUAACACGUGGGCAACCUGCCCUGUAGACGGGGAUAACACCGAGAAAUCGGUGCUAAUACCGGAUAACACGAAAUGUCGCAUGACGUUUCGUUGAAAGACGGCGCAAGCUGUCGCUACAGGAUGGGCCCGCGGCGCAUUAGCUAGUUGGUGAGGUAACGGCUCACCAAGGCGACGAUGCGUAGCCGACCUGAGAGGGUGAUCGGCCACACUGGGACUGAGACACGGCCCAGACUCCUACGGGAGGCAGCAGUAGGGAAUCUUCCGCAAUGGACGAAAGUCUGACGGAGCAACGCCGCGUGAGCGAAGAAGGCCUUCGGGUCGUAAAGCUCUGUUGUUAGGGAAGAACAAGUAACGCAGUAACUGGCGUUACCGUGACGGUACCUAACGAGAAAGCCACGGCUAACUACGUG
rnacentral:rRNA from 1 species